rnacentral:lncRNA from 10 species
GCCAGGCACCAUGGCAUGCACCUGUAGUCCCAUCUACUUGGGAGGCUGAGGCAGGAGGAUUGCUGGAGGGCUUGAGCCCAGGAGUUCUGGGCUCCCAGGAGCAGGGGACCACCAGGUUGCCUAAAGAGGGGUGAACAAACACAGAUUGGAAAUGGAGCAGGUCAAAACUCUCAUGCUGAUCAGUAGUGGGAUUGCGUCUGAAUAGCCACUGCACUCUAGCCUGGGCAACAUAGUGAGACCCUGUCU